AUGGACUGCUGCUGCCGCGCGUCUCGCCCGGACCUAGGGCUUGCCUUCUUUGGUCGCCUCCUCAGGACGGGCCUCAAGACAAAUGAGAUCGUCGCUAGCACCUUCCUCAAGUGCCUCUGCUACGCCAAUCGUAAGGAAGAGGCUGUCAACGUGCUGCUUCAUAGGAUGCCCGAGCUUGGCUGUGUGCCUGAUGCCUUCUCAUACUCCAUUGUUCUGAAGAGCUUAUGUGACAACAACACGAGUCAGCGGGGGCUGCUCCAGAUGAUGGCGAAAGAAGGAGGUGGCUGCUCUCCCAACGUGGUGGCAUAUAGCACGGUCAUCCAUGGCUUCUUCAAGGAAGGUGAAACGGGCAAGGCAUGCAGUCUGUUCCACCAAAUGAUGCAGCAAGGUGUUGUGCCCAAUGUGGUGACGUAUAACUCGAUUAUUGAUGCGUUGUGUAAGGCUAGAGCAAUGGACAAGGCAGAGCUAGUCCUUCGGCAGAUGGUUGCCAAUGGUGCUCAACCCAAUGAAGUGACAUAUACUUGCAUGAUCCAUGGGUAUUCCACAUCUGGGAGGUUGAAAGAGGCUGCUAAAAUGUUCAGAGAAAUGAAAAGCCGGGGUCUUACACCAAAUACUGUUACCUGCGGCUCGUUAAUGACUUCCCUUUGCAAGCAUGGAAGAAGCAAAGAAGCUAGAGAAAUAUUUGAUUCCAUGACUGCCAAAGGCCACAAACCUGAUAUUGUCUCGUACCGUAUUUUGCUUCAUGGUUAUGCCAGUGAAGGAUGCUUUGCUGAUAUGAUUGAUCUAUGUAAUUCAAUGGAAAGCAACGGUAUUGCAGCCGACUGCCGUGUUUUUACCAUAUUAAUUGAUGCCUAUGCUAAACGUGGAAUGAUGGAUGAUGCAAUGCACAUAUUUACGGAAAUGCAGCAACGAGGUGUGAGUCCAAAUGUUGUCACAUAUUCAACUGUAAUAUCAGCACUUUCUAGAAUGGGUAGGCUGACCGAUGCUAUGGAAAAAUUUAAUCAGAUGGUUGCCUUGGGAGUACAGCCGAACAUACCUGUUUAUUGGUCCCUAAUUCAGGGCUUUUGUAUGCAUGGUGGUUUGGUUAAAGUUAAGGAGUUGGUUUCUCAAAUGAUAAACAAAGGUAUUCCUCGUCCUAACAUUGUGUUCUUCAAUUCGGUAAUAAACGGUAUGUGCAAGGAAGGAAGGGUUAUGGAUGCACAUGAUAUCUUUGACUUGGUUAUAGACCUAGGUGGGAGGCCUGAUGUUAUUACAUUUAAUUCACUGAUUGAUGGAUAUUGCUUGGCCCGCAAGCUGGAUAAAGCAUUCGGAAUGUUUAAUUCCAUGGAAUCAGUUGGUGUUGAGCCUGAUAUUGUUACGUACAGUACACUUCUUGAUGGCUAUUUUAAAAAUAGAAGGAUCAAUGAUGGUUUGGCUCUGUUUAGAGAAAUGCCGCGUAAGAGAAUUAAACCUGACAUUGUUACAUAUGGCAUCAUGUUGGAUGGGUUGUUUCGUGCUGGGAGAACUGUUGCUGCAAGGACAAUGUUCCAUGAGAUGAUCGAAAGUGGAAUAACAGUGGACAUCCCCACAUAUAAUAUAGUUCUUAGGGGACUUUGUAGAAAUAACUGCACAGAUGAAGCAAUCGCCCUGUUCCAGAAAUUAGGUGCAAUGAGUAUGAAGUUCAAUAUUGCAAUACUCAAUACCAUGAUCAAUGCAAUGUACAAGGUUCGGAGAAGAGAAGAAGCUAACAAUUUGUUUGCUGCAAUAUCAACCAGUGGGUUGGUGCCCAAUCAAUCUACUUAUGCAGUAAUGAUAAUAAAUCUUCUAAAAGAUGGAGCAGUGGAACAUGCUAGCAAUAUGUUUUCAUCAAUGGAAAAAAGUGGUAUAGUCCCCAGCUCCCGUCUUAUAAAUGGUAUCAUCAGAUUGUUGUUGGAGAAUGGUGAGAUUGCCAAGGCUGGAAUUUAUUUGUCUAAAGUUGAUGGGAAUAGCAUCUCACUCGAAGCUUCAACUACUUCAUUGAUGUUGUCUCUAUUUUCAAGGAAAGGGAAAUAUCAUGAGGACAUGAAAUUGCUCCCAGCAAAGUAUCAAUUUUUUGAUGGAUGUAGUUGA
rnacentral:rRNA from 1 species